AGCAGUGUAGCAUAGUGGUAAGGAGCUGGGCUCAUAAUCAAAAGGUUGCCAGUUCGAUUCCUCACUGUUG